GAUGAACGCUGGCGGCGUGCCUAAUACAUGCAAGUCGAGCGAACAGACGAGGAGCUUGCUCCUUUGACGUUAGCGGCGGACGGGUGAGUAACACGUGGGUAACCUACCUAUAAGACUGGGAUAACUUCGGGAAACCGGAGCUAAUACCGGAUAAUAUUUCGAACCGCAUGGUUCGAUAGUGAAAGAUGGCUUUGCUAUCACUUAUAGAUGGACCUGCGCCGUAUUAGCUAGUUGGUAAGGUAACGGCUUACCAAGGCAACGAUACGUAGCCGACCUGAGAGGGGGAUGGGCCCACUGGGACCUGAACACGGGCCCAGGUCCCCAGGGGGGGCAACAAGGGGGAAUCUUCCCAAAGGGGCGAAAGCCUGCCGGAGCAACCCCGGGUGAGUGAAGAAGGUUUUCGGAUCGUAAAACUCUUUUAUGAGGGAAAAAAAAACGUGAAAGUAACUGUGCACGUCUUGACGGUACCUAAAAAAAAAGCCACGGCUAACUACGG
rnacentral:rRNA from 1 species